ACCUUCGUUGUGUAGUGGUCAGCACGCUGGACACGUAAUCGAGGGGUCCGUGGUUCGAUUCCCGGCGAAGGCG
rfam:Stegodyphus mimosarum contig47715, whole genome shotgun sequence.